UCCACCAUUGAUUAGAAAAAAUACGUGUACCAAGCACCCCGUACACCGUACAAGAUAGAUAUAUAUACACACAUGUAUGGCAUAUUUACAUUAUAUUUACAAGAUUAAAGUGCAGACGAAAGAGCCAGGAAGUGCCACGUGAUCUUACGCUUGUGUAGUCAAUAGAGAGCCGACCAAGGGAAAAAAAAAAAUGAGAGAUUCGUGGCUGUUUUCCAUUGGCCGUGGUUCCUACACUUCCUCUCGUUUCGUUCUUCCCACAGGAAAAUUAUAACGAAACUUUCGUACGCUUCCUCCUGGGGAACAACUAGCAAGGGGCUGAUCUUCCGCUGAAUUGCAACUUUUCACUGUUAUUUAUAAUAUUUAUAAUUACGUAUAAAUAUGUUUGUACGCAUGUAGAGAUAUGCAAAGUAGCAAUAUCGAUACCGAAAGUACGACAUACGAUCUUGCAUCGUUUGUUUCCCAGUUUCUAAGUUUGCUUCGUUCAGCGUUCGAAGAAUCGGUCCUCUGAAACGAAGGGAAGAUACGCGUAAUAUUUCGCACAUUGAACGUGACUGGAGGAUCGUGAAAAGGUUCCUCGAAUCACGAAUGUGAUCUGUGUAGAAAUAUUCCGUGUACAAUGAUCACGAUCACCUUCAUCUAGACUUCCUUACUUUUUCCUGCACCUCGAGUACGUAUAAUUUAAGCUUCAGUUUUGUUAGUACGUAUCUUCACAGGCAUGUGACCCCUCGAUGCACAGAGAGACGUUGUCACGACAACAUCUUCGACGCUCGUUUGUCCUCCUACGAUAUUCUCGAACAACGAGAAAUGCCGAGGAAUCAGUGAACCGGAAAAAAUAUUCGACAUGUAACGAUGGAAAAGAAACAGAUAGGCUCUCUGGUGCACGAGGGAUCGUGAAUGGCCCUGUUCCUCCCAUGUUAAUAUUAAUAUAAAAUGCACAUCGGGCCCGGUGAGAGUCACGAGCAUCAGGUGAUAAAUUUCGAUCGGCGAAGAAAGGUGGGUAUCUUUAUAACAAUUAAAAAAGUAUGUCUCGCUCGGUCGUUCAGCGGUCGUUAGAAAGUUGCCAGUCGCAGAAGUGGUAGAAGGCAGCGGCGGUAGGCAGCGCAUUACAGAAUAAAAUGUGAGAGGACUGUAAAGAAUAAAAAACUGCAAAGAAGAGAUCAUGACGCCUAAAAAGAAUGGUACAAAGUGGUGCCAUAUUUAUUUUCUUCCGUCUCGGAUUACUUCUUUCGUAUUUCUCUCUCUCUCCCUCUCUCUCUCUCCCUCUCUUUCUCUCUCUCUCUCUCUCUUCCGACUUUUCUUAAUCAUCUUAUCGUAUUUCCCUUCGGUCACGGUGUAUCUUUCGUCUCGUUCGUUACGGUUCGUCUUAUGCGUGGAUACAACUUAUUAAAGUAUAACAAAUGGUUAAAUAGGUGAUAUAGUAGAUCAAAUAGUGGAUAAUAUAAAAUAUAGAGGUAGUAGCAGCGGCACAGCUGUGUGACAAUAGAGUAUUUAAAAGAAGUGGUAUAACGAUACUAGUUGCUAUCUUCCUUUUUGUUUAAUAAUAAUAGUAAUAAUAAUAAUAAUAAUAAUAAUAGUAGUAGUAGUAGUAGUAAUAGUAUUAGUUACUGGUAGUAACAGUAGAUAUGCGUGUGUGAUCGUGACGGCGUUAUUAUUGUAAAUUGUAAAGAAGAAAGAAACAGUAGUAACAAGAGAAGUGUGGUAAACAAUCGUGAGAAAGGAUUUUAUGCGAAAAGAUAAUGACCAUAUGGAUAUGGCGGGAUCGAUAUUACGAUGAUGAUCGGAGAAAAAGGGGGUCAACGAUAAUUGCUAAUAAUACCGAUGAUAAUGAUGACAAUGAUGCUGAUAGAUAAUAACGAUAAUAAUGACAAUAAUGAGAUAUUACCAAGGGGAUGAAUAGUAAAUAUAAUAUAUAUAUAUAUAUAUACAGAUAUAGAUAUAUAUAUAUAUAUAUAUAUAUAUGUAUAAUACGACUAUAUCGAUCUAUGUAGACAAUUAUAUAUAAAAUAGAAUCGAGACUCAACUAGCUAUGACUCUCACAGGCGAACAUCGUUGAACACGAACAACAUCUAUUAUUAAACCUUUCGAUAAUUUAUAAAGAAUCUUAACACGUGUUAUCGUAUACGCACGCUUAUUAUCUCUUCCUUCUUUUUAUAAAAAGCUACUUUUUUUUAUAUAUAUAUAUAUAAAGGUAUUUUUAAGAUUAAAGCGAGACAAGCAGAGUCGAGAAUUUUCAUUUUAAACAACGAUUCACUGAUACCGAAAGAAACAAUCUCCGUGUAACAUUGGCAUUUUGCGAAACUCUGUUUCAAAUUUAUUGCUCACCGGUCCCUUCGUCGAGUUUCGAAACGAACGUGUUAAGACCUUCGUCGACGAUCGCAGUCGCUCCUUUCAACGAGACUCGCCUUAGACUACUAAGUCUCAAAACUAAGCCCGUCACUUGAUUACAAGAUCGUCGAGAAUCGGUCGAUGCAGAAGUAGCAACAAUCGGAAUUGAACCGAGUCGCGGAACUCCGGUGGCUGAACUUCUUUAGCCAACAACAUCUUCGGUAAACAAAGAACCACACGCGUCACGUUUCUGCAUCGGAUUCUUCCGCACGUUUCUCUUCACGAGUAUGUAAACUUGUUCACCUUUCCGUCUGCGCAUGUCCAUUUUCGACUUCAGAUCAAAGAAAAGCGAAUGACAAGUGUCUUGUAGAUAGUAGAGCUGACUUAUACGAUAUCCGAACGUUCAACGACCAUCGUCGAUUAUAUUGAGGACCGUUUAAUCGGUCGACUGGAAAGAAGGAUCGUGUUGUACUUGGGUGGUUGGACGUAGCGAUCGAGAAUCGAAAAGAAAAAAAAAGAAGAAAGAGCAGAGGGAAACGAAAGACCGGUCGUUGAUGUUUCAACGAGGCAGAGCAACGACAUUCGCCUGUUGCGUAAAAAGGCAGCCGAGGUUGGUCGAGGAAGAGAUACACAAGACGAUAAGAGCGAAAAAGGAGAGAAGAUUAGAAAAUAAAACGUCGGAUGAAGCAACGAAGUUCAGAAAAAGAAUGAGCGGUGAAAAAACGAAGGAGAAAAGAAGAGAAAAGGACUUCCUUGUCCGUGGUGGGCCGAACGUGGCAGACGAUCGAUGACGGCGACAGAACUUUUUGAUAAAAAGGGAGGGUGGCGAGAAGAUUAGAGAAAAAGCUGAGCUGGAAAAUAUGAAGUAGAGAAACAGUAUCAUAGAGAAAGUGGCAGAGGAAGUGAAUAAAUAGAUAGAGAUGGGCUUACCUUUGGCGUUAACGAAAUAACACACAAAUUACAAGCGAAGAUCACCGUUAUGGAAGCGACUGCUUGACUGGCAAUAUCUUUAUUUCGUCUUUCUUUUCGUGUUCAUUCGAAGGAACGAGGAAAAUCUUCGAAAAAGGAAGUUGACUGAUUGCUCGUCCUACGAUAUUUUAACAAUUCCAGAAAAUACUUUUUUUCACUGCGGAUGACAUUUUAUGACAAUCGAAUUGUAUCGUACGCGAUCUAACGAUCAUACGGAUAACAGAUUAUCGAUACAGUUAAUUUAACAAACGACAGGCAAAGCUUCUCGUCUGAUCUCGAUUAAAAUUGUUUCGUCGAACGAUCGAGAUCGAGCAGAAUCGGUUAAUCGUGGACGAGCAAACGUCACCGAUCAAGAUUCACAAUCCAGCUUUGAUAGAUAGAGAAUAUAUUAAAAGUUGAGAGUAGACAAUAAAGCUCUAUAGUGUGUAAAUAAUACCCAGUCACCAAAAUGCCCUCAUGUGUUUUUAUACCUGCGUGCACCAUUCUGUUACCUUGUUCGAUCAUUCGGUCAUUUAUCAUCUCCUAGCGUGUCUGACAGUUCUUCGACCAAGGCAUCGGAACAAAUUAAACCCACAGCCUUUAGCGUUUCGAUCAACAAACUUACAAAGCGAGGAAACGCAAGUAGGAGAAAAAAGAUACGGAAACAAAAGAAAAAUAUAGAAAAUUAUAUAUAUAUAUAUACAAGUAUAUAUAUAUAUAUACGUAUAUACAAGAACCAUGUACCAAAAUUUCCUUAUGUUCCUGUUUUAUUUCAAAAUACGCGUUCGUUCACGCGGAAGCUCGAGCGAAAAAGCUUUCUUUGUGAUAGAAAAAGCGUUUUGGACAAUCCUUCAGACAGUUAUGCUUCUCUUCAAAUGCGAAACGCAGGAUUUUAUCCAUAUUUUUUCUUUUUUUUUUUUUUACUUUCUUUCUUCCAAUGCGAUGCAUUUAGUUGAAAAGUGGCAUUCACUCGCGAACCAGCAACCGUUUGGUCGUUCACGUAGAAAUUCGUUAGCGUAGAAAUUUCGUUCAACAAACGCAGGACAGUUAAUUAAUUCGACAAACUUUCCACAAAAAAAAAAAAAAAAAAGAAAAAAAAGGGGGAAAGAAACAGAGAAUGGAACGUAAGGCAAAGAAAAGAAAGAGAAGAACUGAACACGAAGAAAA